AGCGUCUCUCUGGAUGCACAUUCAGCCUUAGUCUAACUGAGGCCUCCCUGUGAUCAAGCCCACGAGGACCCUGGGCUUUUCUGUGGCUGGAAGGGAAGGAUGGGGCUGUUCCAUGCUGGAAGACAAACCAGGAGCCAGAGGUGCUGAGAGGCUGCUCUGAGGCACCCCAAGAGGUUCCCUUCUCCAGGAAGUGAGCUUCUGCCUCUGUGCACAGGAUGUGCCUUGGUGUCUCCCUGCUGUCCUUGCUUUGUGUCACCAACGCCUGAUGGACUCCUCUGACAAAGCAGGACGAGGGAGGAUGAGCACAGAGGUGAGGAAAGCGUUGCCCUGCAUCCUGCUGGCAGUGGGAUGGUCCCACACUGGAUGGGGUUUGUGACAGAGAAGGAUCCACACAGGGAUUUUGGCAGCUUGUGGUGAUGAGGAGGUGCUGAGUAGAUCCAUAAUGGUGUGGCUGGGUGCCGAGGCUUGUGAGGUGCUCACAGCAGUGCCAGGGUGUCACCAAGUCAGCGCUCUUGAGACAAAUCUGGGAUCUGUGGGAUGCUGCUCAGUGAUCUGGGCACCUCCAAAGCUCCUCCACUUCCUUUGUUGAGGUGGGAAUGAGCAGCUCUGUCUGUGUGGAGGUGGAUAAAGGACACGGGGUGGGUGACUUGGGGUUUGCAGUCACUGCUCCCUGGGGAGGGAGGCUGCGGUAAGGAGCUGCUGAGGUUUGCUGGCACUUUGGUAACUCCCAUGCCAAGGGAAACACUCAAAUUCACCCAAGGACACACCAAGCCAGGUUAAGAGCAUCAUUCUGCCCUCAGAAAAGAUUUUAUUUCACCUUGAGCAGCAGCAGGAUAGGGCCAUGAUGCACUCCAGCACGUUGGAGCUGGAGCCAGCCAAGAGCCUACACUGAGUGGAAUUUAUGCUCAUUUUUUGGCCUGAUAGGAAGCAAGAGAAACCUGAUGCUAUUAAAACCUGAGAAGGUGAGUGAGGAUCCUUUUGAUUAGCUCCAGGCUCUUGGGUCUCUCCCUAUGCUUCCCAGCAUCUCUUCUCCACCUGGGAUAAAACUGGAGGGACAUGGAACAAUUGUGGCCUUCUCAGAGGAGGGGUUGGGAGUGCUGGUUUCAAUCCAAGCCUGAUCAGCUGUGUUUGGGAUGUGGGCACAGUGACUUGAAAGUUGUGAAGGCUGCAGGUCUCACUGGGCUGGGAGAGAAUCCAGAUGUGAUUUGGACACUAGAUGGAGACAAGAGGGUUGAGGAUUGACAGAGGAGCAGGAAUGCUGUUCCCCAGCAGCAGGUGGGAGAUCCAGCAAGGGAAGUCAUCAGCAAAUGGGGGAACUGCCCUGGAAUCUAAGCAGAGAGCUCAACCAGUGCAGUCUUGGAGAGCUGGAGUCCUUGAAAGAUGAAGCCUCUUAAAAUAAGGAGAGAUUUUAUCUGAAAAUCAAGUUGGCAGUGGCCUGUGUGGUCAGGAUUGGCCAUUGCUCAGGGUCCAAGGAAUCAGUGGGGGAAACUAGAGCCCAUCUCAUCGGCCACACUUUCCUGUCCCACACUGGCCCACGUUGUCACCAAGGGCUUCCAGGAGGUCAGAACUGACACUUCCUUGCUAUUCACACAUGAGGACAAUGUUGGUUAAGUAUAAAUGAGUUAUUUUCAUUUUGUUCCAUGAUUCUCACUCACAUUGGUGCUUUACUGUUGCCCUGUUAUCUUGUUCUGCCAGAGCUGUGCAGCCCAAGCACGAGAGCAAAACGUGCUCUGUUACUGCUGGAACUAGUGCUCACAUGGAAAAAAACCCACAUUAAAUCUGAAUAAAAUGAGGUGGGGGAAAUGUUCAGUUGUUUCCUCCCUCCAGAUCCA